UACGUAGGGUGUAAGCGUUGUCCGGAAUUAUUGGGCGUAAAGAGCUCGUAGGCGGUUUGUCGCGUCGAAUGUGAAAACCCGGGGCUCAACCCCGGGCCUGCAUUCGAUACGGGCAGACUAGAGUUCGGUAGGGGAGUCUGGAAUUCCUGGUGUAGCGGUGAAAUGCGCAGAUAUCAGGAGGAACACCGGUGGCGAAGGCGGGUCUCUGGGCCGAUACUGACGCUGAGGAGCGAAAGCGUGGGGAGCGAACAGG
rnacentral:rRNA from 1 species